rnacentral:rRNA from 1 species
ACGACCUUCGGGAGCUUGUACAGGUGCUGCAUGGCUGUCGUCAGCUCGUGUCGUGAGAUGUUCGGUUAAGUCCGCUAACGAGCGCAACCCUCGCUGUGUGUUACAAGUGUCACACGGAACUGCCGGUCAUAAACCGGAGGAGGUGGGAUGACGUCAAGUCAGCAUGGCCUUUAUAUCCUGGGCUACACACACGCUACAAUGGGAAGGGACAAUAGGUUGCGAAGCCGCGAGGCGGAGCCAAUCCAGCAAAACUUCCCUCAGUUCAGAUUGCAGGCUGCAACUCGCCUGCAUGAAGUUGGAGUUGCUAGUAAACGCAGGUCAGCCAUACUGCGUUGAAUACGUUCCCGGGGCUU